rnacentral:lncRNA from 1 species
UCGCAUGCACACGAACGCUGAUUUUAAAAAAGAAAGCAUAGAAUAGACAAAAUAUUUACAAAUUAUUUAAUUUGUAAAUUGUUCAGUCUGACAGAUUUGCGUUUAUAGUCUAGAAAGGGUGCACAAGACAGUAAUAAAGUGACAGGUAACUCAUCUAAAUGGUGCCACUGGGAUUCUAACGGACGCUCCUCCAAAGACACGAAAAUGGUGCUUCCCUUCACCAACUGCUAAAAAACACUGAUCAAACCUGUAGUAAGGUACCGAGUAACACACGCUGGUGUCUGUAAGGAAAAACAGAGGCAACGCAUGUAAGCAAGCGAUGAUUGGAAAACCGGGACCUCACACACUGGUGUGCUGGAUGGAGAAGGCAUGGGACUACUUCAAAGGAUGUCAGAGAUGGUGGUAUGUAAGGUGCCCAUAACUUUACAGUGGACAACACAAAGAACCAUGGCUGGGGGAUCUAUGCAGAAGAAGAGAAAGAAAGUCAGCCAAAGCUGAUGGGUGAUUCCAAGAAAACACAGUCUUCCAGACACAACAGGACCGGUACACGCAUGAACUCAGUACUGUGGGAGCAUGCAUAAGACCUGAACAGGCUUAGAGCCCACGAGUAACAGCAGAGGUUUCAAAAAGACAGGAAGAGGACUGGUGUAAG